UAGUCCACGCCGUAAACGAUGUCUGCUAGCCGUCGGGGUACUUGGUACUUCGGUGGCGCCGCUAACGCAUUAAGCAGACCGCCUGGGGAGUACGGUCGCAAGAUUAAAACUUAAAGGAAUUGACGGGGGCCCGCACAAGCAGUGGAGCAUGUGGUUUAAUUCGAAGCAACGCGCAGAACCUUACCAGCCCUUGACAUCCCGUGCUACACCCAGAGAUGGAUGGUUCCCUUCGGGGACACGGUGACAGGUGCUGCAUGGCUGUCGUCAGCUCGUGUCGUGAGAUGUUGGGUUAAGUCCCGCAACGAGCGCAACCCUUGUCUUUAGUUGCCAUCAUUAAGUUGGGCACUUUAAAGAGACUGCCGGUGACAAACCGGAGGAAGGUAAGGAUGACGUCAAGUCAGCAUGCCCCUUAUGCUCUGGGCUACACACGUGCUACAAUGGCCGUGACAAAGAGUUGCUACUUUGUGAAAACAAGCUAAUCUCAUAAACGCGGCCUCAGUUCGGAUUGC
rnacentral:rRNA from 1 species